rnacentral:lncRNA from 1 species
CUGUAGCAGGAAACAACAAACCUAUGUCUUCAAAAAAUGCACAGGCUUAAUCUUCACUGACUUCAUUAUUCAGCAGAAGUAAUCAAGGGAUGUGGAAUGAUAUGUAAUUCCUUGGAAGGCUCUCGGGGCAGUAACUCCGAAGUUUACCCAUUCCACACUGCCUCUCUUCUCCCCAGUCACUAAAUAGCCUUACUGUUGACAUGACAACCACUACUUAGACAAGGAAAAUGUUUAAUGUACGAUCAGCUUCUUGAGCAUAGUGGGGCUGGGUAGAGGAGCUGGGAUGAGGCACCAGCCAGCUCGGCGAGCGCCGCCAGCGAUGCCCAGAGUGUCUUUGUGGGCUCCUGUGCUCUGGCCUUGAGUUUAGACAUACACAGCAGUGUGCGUAAGCCUUACCCUGGGAUUUAAAAGCCGUGGACUUGGGGAGAGUGGAGAUCCUGCUUUUGGCUGCAUUGCUUGGUCCUCUUCUGGUUGAAGGAGUCUCUGUGGAACAAGUGCUAGAGAAGUUAAAGACCUCCAUGCUCUAAUUUCAUAAUGGAUAAUGCAAAUGUCGUCUUUCAAAACAAACUCUGCAGUUUGAAAUCUAGCUAUGCUUAUGGGCUUCUGUUUUGAAUCCCCCCUAAUAAAGGAGAUCCUCAAGUACAAAUAUCAAGACUUUUUUGCAGGCUACUUUGAAAUGAUGGUCUUAAAUCCAGAGUGCUCUGUGCAAAGAGUAGGAGCUCAGGUUAUAUAAAGUGACAACAGGAAUUGGAACAACAUGCUGCUCUAAAGCAACAACCAAAAACCGGAAGACUGCCUGUGAGUGAGCAUGUGUGUGUGGGGAAACAAAAUGGGAAACUGGGGGAAUUUCUACCAAAAUCAGGUCCUAAAAAACCAGAAAUUUCAUAGAGCAUGACAUAAAGAGGGGAAUGCCCAUUGGCGCAGGGUGGAGGCUCUGGAGGGGAUUAAGCGUUACUGUGUGGGGAGGAUGUGGGUAGGUGAAGGCUUUCAACACCCAGGCUGUAUUUGGGGGGGUCACAGGCAGUAUAGCAAGCUCUGCCUGCUGCCCCUCUGUGUUCUCUACUCGUAUGACAGACAAUCUACCUGACAAUGCGGGGUUUUUAUCUUUACAGUAAGAAUGGGACCUAGUAGCUUUCACUGCACACAAUGAGAGU